GGAAACAGAGUUUUAGGUCACUGAAAAUUGAGGUUUUUGAAAAGUUUUUAAAGAUUUUUAAGAACUCAGUUCUUUGCAAAAAUUUGUAUUUGUAGGGACAACAGAUGGGAACAUUCUGGGAGAUACUGUCAUUAAGUUUAUUUGCAUGUUCCAUUGGAAACCUAGCUGUCCUUUAUCAUCAUCAUCAUCAUGAUACCCGAUGGCGAAUAAAUACUUGAUGUUAUUCAUUUUUAAUUUAAAUUAUACAAUUAACAAUAGCAGCUUCCUCAAGAGGAUGCUCAGUUCACAUGCGCACUUAUUUUUCUAUUGUGUUCAAAGUGACAGACUGAUUACACAUUAUUCCCACCUAGUCUGCACUAAUGUCCAUAUGAUAUUGAUAUUGAUAUUGAUGUGAUGUUGCUUUUUCACUGCCAUGUUGGUAUCUUAAUUUUAUUUAUUGUAUUAUUGGUAUUGUUGUGUCAUUGGUAUGCCUCAGUGACAUGGUUUCUUAUCUUGAUAGUGGGCAUGUUAUGUUAUGUUGGUAUGUUGAAUGAAUGUAUUGUUUGUGAGCAGCACUGCACUUAAGUCCACGACAAAUUUCCCCCUGGGGACAAUAAAGUUUUAUCUUAUCUUAGUGGCCUGGUAUACCCAUGUGGGCAUUUUCAACGGAUUCUGCAUCAUCAUGAGGACAGAAAAAUAUUCAGAAAACCCCACUGGUGUGGAUUGUAUUUUUCUGAAACAGAGAGAAGAAUCAAUUUUGCGUGGACGUAGCAUUAACUGCACAACAUAUACAAGCCUUUGUUUUUUUUAAAUCGCUGCUUUUGUCAAUACCUGUUGUUGAAAAUCAAACCUGGGCUGUUUGGUUAGUGUCGGCAUCAUGCUCUUAUCAUGAGUGUCACUCAAGGUCAAGGGGUCUUUAGCCACUAGCUUUAUGUCAGCAUGUUGCCUUUGUAAGUGCUUGGAAAGAUUUAAUGUGUUAUAUUUGUGUGAAGGGAAAAGUGGCCAGGGCUAGGUUUACAUUUACUGUGACAUUCUUGUCCUUUCCUGCAACAAAUGAAAAAUAAUGUGCAUAUCUCCGAGCCUCAAAAGAUGCCUUUAUUUGCCAUGCUCUGUUGUUUUUGCUCUCCCUCUUCAUGAACUCGAGCAACUGCCACAGACCCAUAAAGUCAGGUAGUGAUGUGGAAGCGUGAACGAAAAGACAAAUGUAAUCCAUGUGCAGAGCUUUGAAGAUUACGGAGCCCGGGGCUCCGUAGAAGAUAAAUUAACAGAAGAACAAAACACAAAAAGGUCAAACAGAAACAGAAGGGCUCCAACAACACAAGGGAGGAAACACAGAAGCUAACUACACACUAACGAGCAACAGGUGUGGACAGGACCAUUUAACAAACUGAAAGAUGCUCCACAAUGGCUGAGGGGAAACGAUUUAGAGGUUGGCUGAGGAGAGAGGACCUGAAGAUGUGCAAAUGAAUGAAUUAAAAAGCAGCCAGGGUGGGCAGGACUCUAAUGCGAAGGAUCUCAUCUCAAUCUGUGGGCAAUCAGCAACUUAGGAAUGAACUCACUAGCUCUACUGCUGUUGCCAGGAAUGUGGGAGAGGAUCUUGUAUGGUUGGGGUCCAGCAGCUCCUCAGUAUUUCAUUAUUUCCCGACUCUCAAGACCAGCCUGAGAGAGAAAACAACAUGUUGCCACAGUGUCAACAUGCAGCCCCCUUUCUACUGAUUGAUUUGAUGCAAUGUGUGUGAUCAGGGUGUCCCUAGCAUUGCAUUUUCUGUUGAGAAUAGAUUACCCUUGUCAUGGGAUUUUAACCAGAAUCAUGUAUUCAACAAAGCCAAGUAUUAAUCCAGAAUAAAGUGUUAAAUUGAAAAUGCUUUUCUUAGUUCAGAGAGAUCUGUCUACUGUUAAUGUUCUGUCUACUUAAAAGCUUUUCUGAAAUAUUUUAUA